rnacentral:tRNA from 1 species
GGUAGAGUGGCCGAGCAGGCGGUGGGUUGUAGCCCCAAAGACAGAGGUGUGAGCCCUCUCUCUACCA